rnacentral:lncRNA from 1 species
UCCUACAGGAAAAAUAGGGCGAACAGAGAUAAAAAAAACAAAUAAGGGCAACCAAAAAGAAAGACGAUUUCAUAAGACAAGCACUUAUUCUUUGCCUCCUAAUCUUAACGUUGACUCAAACGAGAACAGUGACCUGUUGUUCAGUAAGGUCUGAAGCAUUUAAAAUAGGAAAAAGGCAUACCCUCUGAUUUUCUGCAGCUGAAAAUUGGUCAAUUCUCAAAUGAGAUGACAUAGUUAAGAUGUUGUGGGCAUAAUUCUAGAAUAAAUUGACCAGAGCAGCGGCAAGCAAGUAGGAAUUUUAAGCAUCAGCACAUCCUAAGCAGAAUGCAUGAGCAUCUCCAAGUCCUGAUAAAAACUAUAGGAGCAGAAUAAAUCUGACAAACUUGCAUAUUGGACAAGAUUCAGAUUUCUACCCGUAACAAAAAUUCUGGCAACAAUGGACAACGUUGAUUAAGAUCAUAGAAUUUUCAAGCUCUAACUAUAAAGCGCCAGAAUCUCCAACAGUGCACAGCAGACGUUUAAUAUCAAGGUCCCAAAUCCAUUCAUUUAAAAACUUCAAUACUACAGCACAAAUACAACCAAUCAAACACUUAAUUGAGAUGUAACACAAGGUCAAGGGACUUCCUUGAAAUCCUUUUUACUCUUCCUAUAGAUUUAGUUUUGAUCAUUUUUUACUCUUCCUAUUAAUGCACAAUAACCCACAAUUACAUGUACCGAUGUAGAUAUUUCUAACCCUCAACCAAAACAGUGUACAACAAAAAACAUGCCUCAAUUCCAAGCUAGUGGGCCUCGGAUAUAUGAAUCCUCAAUAUAAGAAACGCUCUGUUUGGGUCCAUAAUAUUUCAAUUCCUUCGUGCUUAAGGAUUGUCUCAACCAAAAUAGUAUAAGUAAAACAAAUACUCAUUGAUUUCUAGGUUUCAUCCUAAACCUAAUUGGACACACCCAGAACUAACCGACCAGAUAAAAGGGGAGAAACUCACCAUAUAUUAUAAGUAAAAUAAGAAAUAUUUUCCCCCUAAUAUAUUUCAAUUCAAUCUUCUAACAAGGUUAUGCAAGCCAGUCAAAACCCCAAGUUUUUAUGCGAGCAAACGUAGUGAAAGUCAAGAAAACCAUCAGUUUGACUGUUAAGUUAUCUAACGGUGAGUUCUUUUGGCAUGCCUGACUUGACUUUCGAGAAUCAAUGCAACUCAAUGUCAGAAUGGUUUGAGAGUUUUCUAUUUGUUAAGAUUAAUUGUAUAGAAUAUUGUUGCUAUCUUUGAACAAUUAGGAAUCUCCUAUUUGGAUAAUUUGUUUCAUUUAAUAACUCUCCUUGUUUCAUGUAGUCUAAGCUUUUCCUAUUAUCAAAUAAUCUGAACUCCUACAUAAUGAGUCUCUCAUAAUUUAGGACCAAUUUGGUCAAACUUCCAAAAUCUACUUAUUCUUAAAUGACUUCUGAACUCCUACAUAAUGAGUCUCAUAAUUUAGUACCGAUUUGGUCAAACUUCCAAAAUUUACUUAUUCUUAAGUGACUUCUUUUCAAAUAGUUUUCCGAGAAAUACUUCUGGAAAAUAGCAAAUUGUAUUUUGCCAAAUCAUCGGAGAAGUGCUUUUGUCAAUAUUAUAGAAAUAAUUAGUGUUUGGCCAAUCUUUCAAAAUAUUUUUUAAAUGACAAUUUUUUACAAACAAAAGAACAUGUAAAGAUUCACUUUACCAUUGUUGUUAUUUAAUUAAAUAACAACUUUAUAUAUUCAUUAGGAGAGACUUUAGUUGAGGUUGUUUUAAUUUUAUCCCAGAUGAAUCAACUUCCUAUCGUAAAGAGCCUCUCUACCUUCCAGGUAGGGGUAAAGUCUUCGUACACACUAGCCUCCCCACACCCCACUUAUGAGAUUAUACUGGCCUUUUUUUUGUUGUUGUACACAUGAAUCAACUUAAGGGGUGAUAGCUUGAACGAUAUAAAUUUCUAAUAAGGGUUUUUAUUCUAAAUAAUAUAAUUUUCUGCUUUCAAGGAGAAGCUACAUAUUUUUCUUCCUUCUUGUAGUAGAAAAAUUUGUUUCAACUAUUACUCAUAAUCACUUAUCUCAUACAAGAUCAAACACCUUGAAUCUUCAAAAUUAAGUAUUUUCUGGCGGUCAAGGCUUUGGUUCAACAGUAAGGAAGUAACAGAGCGAGAUGUCUUGUGUACACUUCCCGAGUUCGAAUCUUCUUGAUGACUAAAGCCUGAUGUUUAAGUGAUAGUAGGGAAAAACGGGCAGGCUGUCCCUGCUCCCCCGACAGAACCUAUGUGCCAACUAGGGAGCGGUCAAAUAACCCACUGGGGUAUUUCUUAUUUGUAAACAAAGGUAUUUUAAAUAAAAGCAUUUCAAAUUUUCCAAAAACUUGGUUAACGAGGCUGCUAUCAAUAUAAGAAUUUUUCUCCCACUUCUCUUUUUGCAUGGCCUCAAAACCUAUGUAAUCUAGGUAUAGACCAGGGGCAGAGGCAGGGGGCGCAAGGGUGUUCACCCGAACACCCUUUGCCAAAAAAUUACACUGUAUAAAUAAGGCAAAAUCUAUUUUUUAUCUUUAUAUAUUAAGUUUUGAACACCCUUAACAUAAUCCAAAAGUGUAAAAAAAAAUUUUUAACACCCUUCGUGGAGAUCUUGCCUCCGCCACUGGUAUAGACUUAAGUAGUUUCUGCAUGCAAGUAGGUGACAUUACGACUUGUCCGACUAAAGUUUCUCAUUCUUAAUUUUACUACUCUUGUGUAUUUGGAUGACCAUCCAAAUGGCACAACUCUUUUCCAAAUGUUCGUUAUGGCAUCACCGUUCACAAUUAUGGCUAUUGUUUCGGUAGGAUGUGUCAUGUAGUCCCCCACUGACACAUCAAUGUACAACAGAUAACAUGUCAUGUCGGUAUUUUACUGCAAGCCUAUCAAGUUAGUAGUAUGCCAGCUUCCGGUCAGCUUCCAUCAUUAUCCAAUCACCAAUAGUAGGUCAUCAAACUCACUAUUCAGAUAAUUAUUCUUAUUUGGUAACUCCUCAUUUCACGUGGUCUAAACUCUUUUUGUUUCCUAAGUAGUCUAAAACUCCUAUAUGUUGUUCAUGUAAUGCAAUAUAAGAAUUUUCUCCCUCCAUUUCUCUUUUGACAAUAAGCAUGCAUAUGUCAGAAACUCUAAAGUCAUCACAUAAGCUUUUUAUUAACCAGAAUAAAAUGUUAAGCUAAUAAGGAUCAUCUGAAAAUUUUCCAUUGAUUCCUCGGUUUGAUAUAGAGAGUGACUAUAUGCUAGACACCUUCAGUAGCUUAUAAGCAAUGCACAAGUCCCAAACAGAGGGGGUCAGGACAGAAGCUCUUUUCAGUGAAACCGAUUGAGUCCUACAGCUAUCAACAUACAUUAUAUCUAGACUUUUAUUUCACUUCUGUUGGCACCCAAAAGAAAACUGAUGGUUUUGUGCAUUACAUCAAGAAAGAAGUAGAGAAAAGAAAAGAAAAAGUAAAACGAGGGUGAGUCCAAAGAAGUAGAGAAAAGAAAAGAAAAAGUAAAACGAGGGUGAGUCCACCCGACUAAGUGAGUAGUUACCCAAUCAAAAGCUAUUUCAAAAUACAAGCACAUAAUUAGGCACAAUAGCUAUUAUAGUACAUUUAUAAUACUCUCAUUUAUAAUACUUGUUAAGCCGGUGGACUCACCCUCUCUUUUACUUUUUCUUUUCAUUUGUUUAGACACAGACAUAGACAAGGCAAUUGAGAAUUAGCAGGCAUACUUGGAAGAUGACCUUUUGUGAGCAUCUAUGUUGCUCGGACUCUCCAAAUUUCUCCGUGUGAUCCUUCAAAAGU